UGCGGUUUUGCCAAGCGGUAAGGCACCAGAUUUUGACUCUGGUAAACGUCGGUUCGACUCCGGCAAUCGCAG
rnacentral:tRNA from 1 species